rnacentral:rRNA from 1 species
GGACCGGAUACAGGUGCUGCAUGGCUGUCGUCAGCUCGUGUCGUGAGAUGGUUGGGUUAAGUCCCGCAACGAGCGCAACCCUCGCCCUUUAGUUGCCAGCUAUUUUAGGUUGGGCACUCGUAAGGGGACUGCCGGUGAUAAGCCGAGAGGAAGGUGGGGAUGACGUCAAGUCCUCAUGGCCCUUACGGGCUGGGCUACACACGUGCUACAAUGGUGGUGACAGUGGGCAGCGAGCACGCGAGUGUGAGCUAAUCUCCAAAAGCCAUCUCAGUUCGGAUUGCACUCUGCAACUCGAGUGCAUGAAGUUGGAAUCGCUAGUAAUCGCGGAUCAGCAUGCCGCGGUGAAUACGUUCCCGGGCCUU